rnacentral:lncRNA from 1 species
GGCAAAUUACAUCUGACAGAAAAAUAUAUUUCUAUAAAGAAAAAGUUAAGAGUGUAUAAAGCCAUUCUAUAAAAUGAUGGAAUUUCGUGUCGGUUAGUCUUAUCAAUUGAUAGGGAUAGGAAUUAUUAGUAACAUUUAGUUUGUACCAAACUGCAGUGAAACGUAGGGAUUUCUGUGCAUAAUUUGAAAAGAAACCAAAGAUUAUGGCC